AUAAGGGCGCACGGUGGAUGCCUUGGCACUAGGAGCCGAUGAAGGACGGGACUAACACCGAUAUGCUUUGGGGAGCUGUACGUAAGCUAUGAUCCAGAGAUUUCCGAAUGGGGGAACCCAACAUCUUUAAUAGGAUGUUACGAUUGUGUGAAUACAUAGCACAUUCGAGGUAGACGCAGAGAACUGAAACAUCUAAGUACCUGCAGGAAGAGAAAGAAAAUUCGAUUCCCUGAGUAGCGGCGAGCGAAACGGGAAAAGCCCAAACCAGCAAGCUUGCUUGUUGGGGUUGUAGGACUCCAAUAUGGUAGUUCUUUCAGAUAGUCGAAUGACUUGGAAAAGUCAGUCAAAGAGGGUAAAAACCCCGUAGACGAAAUGUGGAAGACACCUAGGAGGAUCCUGAGUACGGCGGAACACGAGAAAUUCCGUCGGAAUCCGGGAGGACCAUCUCCCAAGGCUAAAUACUCCCUAGUGACCGAUAGUGAACCAGUACCGUGAGGGAAAGGUGAAAAGCACCCCGGAAGGGGAGUGAAAUAGAACCUGAAACCGUGUGCCUACAACAAGUCAAAGCCCGUUAAUGGGUGAUGGCGUGCCUUUUGUAGAAUGAACCGGCGAGUUACGAUUGCAUGCGAGGUUAAGUUGAAGAGACGGAGCCGCAGCGAAAGCGAGUCUGAAUAGGGCGUUUGAGUAUGUAGUCGUAGACCCGAAACCAUGUGAUCUACCCAUGUCCAGGUUGAAGGUGCGGUAAAACGCACUGGAGGACCGAACCCACGUACGUUGAAAAGUGCGGGGAUGAGGUGUGGGUAGCGGAGAAAUUCCAAACGAACUUGGAGAUAGCUGGUUCUCUCCGAAAUAGCUUUAGGGCUAGCCUCGGAAUUGAGAAUGAUGGAGGUAGAGCACUGUUUGGACUAGGGGCCCAUCUCGGGUUACCGAAUUCAGAUAAACUCCGAAUGCCAUUCAUUCAUAUCCGGGAGUCAGACUGUGAGUGAUAAGAUCCAUAGUCGAAAGGGAAACAGCCCAGACCACCAGCUAAGGUCCCAAAAUAUAUGUUAAGUGGAAAAGGAUGUGGGGUUGCACAGACAACUAGGAUGUUGGCUUAGAAGCAGCCACCAUUUAAAGAGUGCGUAAUAGCUCACUAGUCGAGUGACCCUGCGCCGAAAAUGUACCGGGGCUAAACAUAUUACCGAAGCUGUGGAGUACACCUUUAGGUGUAUUGGUAGGAGAGCGUUCUAAGGGCGUUGAAGGCAGAUCGUGAGGACUGCUGGAGCGCUUAGAAGUGAG
rnacentral:rRNA from 1 species